GAGUUUUGGCAUCCUCCUUUCAUGCCCAUUCCAAUGCUUUUAGAAGAAACCUGCUCAGUACCUGCGUGAUUGCUAGAGAAAGAAACAUUAGUAAUAGAAUUAAAAAAUGGGACUUCCUUACUUUUCUCAUUAGCUGCCAAUUCAAUAGGCCUUUUGCCCAUAUAUUUAUCCAACCCAACAUUUGAAUUUCGUCCCAACUCUAUAGAUUUCAAGCUAUCAGACACCAAAUUCUUAGUAGGCCCUAACCGAAUUCCUUGGCCCAAUUCGCUCCCACGCCCAGCUCCAAUAUUAGACCCAUUACCCUUUUUGAUCCCAACAGUAUCCCUAGUCUUAAAAUUCCCAACACCGACAGUCCCUUUUCCUCUCAGAUUUUCCUGCAAAAAACCUCCAUUAAUCACCCCCAAAUUACUCCUCAAAUCUCCCUCCUAAUUAAGCGCCAAAUAUCUAGAACCCAAAGGAAAGUUUCCAGAUUUUUCAACGGCAUUAGACUGAGGGCCGCGUUGGCCACGCCGUGCCUUGCAUUCAACCAGCAUCCACGGCCCGAAUUCGGGCCUCUUAUCUCCAUCGGAUCUACCAUCGGCGCCUUCUUGUGCCUCCAUCUCCGCGUUCGCCGUUUGCUCCUGUGAUUGAACCACCUUGACAAUCGGGCAGAGCUCCUUGACAUGGCCGUAUUUACCACAUGAGAAACACACUGUCGGCAGGGCCUCAUAUUCAACGUUUUGGACAGAGCCAUCUACCCACACCUCUGAAAUCAACGGUUUUUCAAGGUUAAUAAAAACAGCCAAACGAGCGAACUGACCUCUAGUUCCAUUAUCGGUUUGAAAAUCUAGCUUAACUACUUUCCCAAUGAGUCCUCCAAUUGCUUCUAUGAUUUUUCGAUUAUACAGGUACCCUGGAAGUCCUGGCAGUAAGAUCCACGCUAAUACCACACUGGGGUAUGGCUGCUGAAGGUUGAAAUCCUUUGUCCACGGUUGGAUGGUAAGGUAUUGUCCGUAGAUAAUCCAAGGACCCUAUGUUAAGACAUUGUUAUAGUCUCCUAUAUUCUGAAACUUAAUCAGAAAAUACCCAUUGACAGUAUCCAUAAGGUGAAAAGGUUUAGCAGGUUUCCAAAGGCUAAGUAUACGAUUAUGUAAUGCGUUAUAGCCUACAUUACGCCCUAAGAGUUUGAGAACGAUCGUCAAUUCCAUUUCUUUGAAAAGAAUGUUUCUAAUACGAUCCGAGAAGGCAAUAGUAGGCAUCCCGUCUACCAUGGUAGUAUUCAUAUCUCCAUCAAGUAGAUCAAAAUCAUUAUCAGGUCCCUCGUUUAAACCAUUUCGAUCAGAUGCGGAGUACGAAGCUUCACCCAAAAGCAUGUCCUUCCACGAUAAUUUUGGAAACGGAACUGAAUCGGCAGCCAUCGAAACAGAUUCCUCAUCCGUUCCCUCUAUAAAUCUCACUUUUUUUGUGUUCCGAUUCCCACCUAAGCAAAGAACUCCAUCGCCGUUGAGACCAGAUUCAUCCAUCCCUCCAAAUAUAUUUCUUUCAGUUUGAGAUAUAUGGCGGCUUUGUAUUCUUACUAAUUUAAUCCUUGAAUGAUUAAACAUACACCAUGCAAGAACUAUGUCAAUUAAUUAAAAUCUUGUUCAGAUUAAUUAAUUAAUUCAGUUGUUUUCCUUCAUUCAUAAUGCAUGAGAAACAUAUUCAUGAUUUUACUUGCAUGAGUAAAUAGAUCAAAGGCACAAAACAUAUUUAGCAUAAUUAAAUAAUUAAAACAAUGAAAAUUAAAUCAUUCUAAAACCAACAAAAUUAAGCAAUCAUGAUUAUAUUAAAAACAGAAAACUUAAUUUCAAUCAUGUUUCUUGAAUUGAAAAAAAAAAUAAAGAUUGAAGGGAAAGAGAAUUACUAAGCCAUUUCUGGUGGAUCUCCGUGGCAAAGCUUACUUUACUCCUCCGUUGUUUUAUUCUUCUUGUCAUGACUGCUAAGCUUAAAAGCUCUCAAUAUUGCCUACAGUGGCUACUCUCAAAACCUUGCAAAUACUCUCUCAAAUGGAAGUGAAACAAGAGAGAAUGAGAGAAGAGAUGGUGAGUGAGGGAUGAGUGAAAUGGAGAACAAAUGUCUCUUUAUUUAUACUAGUGAGGAGCUCAUUGAGUUUGAUAUUUUUAGCAUGAUAAUCCUUUAUUUUUUCUCUCAUGCACGGUUAACCCUUGUGAAAUAGAGAGCGAAUGCCUCUCUAUUUGACUAGUGAGGAGCCCUUUGAGUUUGCUAAUUUUAGCAUGAUAAUCCGCAUUUUUUCUCUCAUUCAUGGUUGACCCCUUGUGUUAAGGAAGGAAUGAGAAGAAGUUGAAGGGUCACAUGGCAAAAUUGUUGUGGCGGAUUAGUGACAUUUUACCAAGUCUUUGGUUUCUAAUUAAAAUUUUUUUAUGUACGGUUGGACUUCCCAUAGCCGAAUUGGGCUCUUUACUCAUUAGUGGAUGGUUUGGGCUUUAAAUUUGGCAGCAGGCUUCUCCACUUCAGUGGUCCAAUUGCAAGCUGGGUCAAAAUUAAUCUGAGAGUCCAACAGAUGAAUUUAGGACGUCCAUGUUGUUCAACCAUCAACCCACAUGUGCUUGGCCUCUGCUACAGGAAUGCUACAACAUCGAGUAUCGAAUAGGUAAGCUUCAAGACUAUCUUUUUUUCUAUUGCACGAAACUGCAUCAAAUCGACAA
rnacentral:lncRNA from 1 species